rnacentral:misc_RNA from 1 species
GAUGAAGAACGCAGCGAAAUGCGAUAAGUAAUGUGAAUUGCAGAAUUCAGUGAAUCAUCGAAUCUUUGAACGCACAUUGCGCCCGCCAGUAUUCUGGCGGGCAUGCCUGUUCGAGCGUCAUUUCAACCAUCAAGCCCCAGGCUUGUGUUGGGGACCUGCGGCUGCCGCAGGCCCUGAAAACCAGUGGUGGGCUCGCUGUCACACCGGGCGUAGUAGAUUUUAUCUCGCUCAGGGCGUGCUGCGGGUUCCGGCCGUUAAAAAGCCUUUUUUACCCAAGGUUGACCUCGGAUCAGGUAGGAAUACCCGCUGAACUUAAGCAUAUCAAUAAGCGGAGGA